CGCCUCUACGCCGGCCUGCAAUUUUGAGUUCUAAAUUAGACAUGGAUGCUUUGACAAACAGCAAAGAAUUCUAAAUAAUUAACUGCAGAGAAAACAUGAUGUCAACAACUCAGAAAUAUAUUUAUCAUCUUUUCGAACAAGCUUUCAUGUUCUUGAAUGCCCUAUAUUUGACAUUUCUAAAUUUGCACAUUAUAUUAGUUUUAACCAGAAAAUGUCUCUAUCCAUGUCUUGACGGAACAAUGAUGGAAUAGACUAACUCAGAGUUAUUUCAUCAGUUGGAGCAAAUUCACAUGUGGAUAUGAACAUUUUUCAGUAUAAGGACAUCAAUAAGCUAAAGGAACAAUGAUGGAUGAAUUUUAACUGCUGUUAAUCAACUACUAAAGUGGAACUGAAGUGCAGAACCUGAAAUUUCUUUUGCUAAACUUGGUGAUGAACUGAUGACUGAUCAUACAAUUUUAUUAGAUCAUGACGUGACGUGAAUCAUGUGAUAUUUCCAUCUGUUGCUAAAACCAUUUUCAUUUAGCUCACUGCAACUUGCUUAAAUUUGUUCUCCAUAUAUUUUCCCACCUCCGUCACAGCACUGCUAUAUUUAUGGACAGUCAAAUAUAACAUUGGAUAAAGCCCCUUUUCUACUCAUAAUUGUUGCUUCGGUUUCUUUAGGUGGAUUCAGCGCUUCAAGAGCAUACCAGCAGCAGAAAGCAGACUGUUCCUCUCGGAAGUUCAUAAGAAGUUCUAUAGGUAGUUAGGUACAGCACACAAGGCAUUGGUAUGUUCUGCACAAAUGUUGAUCUAUUUUCCUCGUUAAUUUCCUCAUCACGUCUGAGUUAAAAAGAUAGGUAACAUUCACAUUAAGAAGUCUUUGACAGUCACUAGGCAGCAAGUAUGGUGGUUUUGUUUGAAGAAACAUCAAGCAUUAUAUAACUCAGCCAACCUGUAUGGUUUCAUUUCAUAUCUGUUUUCUAAUUGCUGCAAUUUCUAACAUAUACACAGUACCAUUAGACUUAUUGAUUCUGAUAUAACAGGUAUACAAUGAGAUGAAUGUGUUUUCUCUUAAAAUUUUAGAGUCUCUGAUUUCCUUUUGUUUACUAGGAGUGUAGGACAUGGUUUAUUUAUUUAUUUCAUAGGAUCCACUUCAGCUGUAUAUAUCCAUAUGCAGUAUAUGGUCUCAUAUUUAAUUGGUUUUUUAUAUUUAAGUGACAGUUUUGGCUGGCACAGAAAAAGAAUUGGAGACUGUUUUAGCUGCCAAAUGCCAAAAUGGUUGUAGGCUAGCAUGCAGGCCUGGUGCAAAAGCAACACUAAAUUAUUUGUCUGACCGUGGAUUGUCUCUCUUCCCCACAAGUUAAUUUUCAUCUAUUUGUGUAUUAUAAUCGAGCUAUUGUAUUGUAUGAUGGUCAGAACUCUAUUGUUGGGUUAGAACAAUAAAUAAGCUUGAACUUCUGUGUACAUAUCUAAGGUACAUCAUCAUGAUAUGUAGAAUAGUAAACCAAUGUUGUAUAUGCUCGAUUUUUACAGUGAGUUGGGCAACUUUAAAUGAAAGGUGGACUAUUAAUAGGAGAUGGUACUAUUACUAUCUAGGUUGAAUUGAUCGUUCGGAUGACAUUCUCUUUAAUCGCAAAUUUCAUGUGUUACAAGGUUUCCUCAUUUACUUUCCUUCCUUCUCUGUACAUGUUUUUUUUCUCUUUUUGAGCUUUCUCUUGUUCAGUGAGACGAUUGGACGGACAGCCUCUUACCGUUGCCUCAUUUUCCUGCCUCUACAUGCCGCUGUCGCUGACACUCGCCUCACCGCACUGCCAAUAGUCUGCCAUUUGAUUCAUCUUGGCAAGAGGAAGGCCCCGCCGCGCUUAACCCAAGCAAGUGGAUAUAGUUCAAGCUCGAGGAGAAGGCGACAGUCAGCCACAUCUCACACUUAUUUAGGUAGUGACAACAAAUAAAUAUUUUGUUCCUGUUACCUACUUUGUCUGACUGCUAGCAUAUGUGUGCAUGAGUCCUGCUAGCAUCUCAAUAAUAAAGCUACUCAAUGUACUGAAAUGCCAUAACAAUUGUUGUAUCUGGAUAAUCAAAAAACAGAUGCUCUGAAUUAUUCUAUAUUUUAUCUUUUUUGCUAGAUUAUGCA